CUGUUUAACCCGUCCGCUGCGAUUGUCACGGAAUUUGCCUUCACUGGUAGCCUGGUAACACACACUCCCAGGUCUUUCUCUGCCUCUGUGGUGGAUAGUGGAGUGUUUCCCAUGUGGUAUUGGUGUGCUGGAUAUCCCUUCACUGGUAGCCUGGUAACACACACUCCCAGGUCUUUCUCUGCCUCUGUGGUGGAUAGUGGAGUGUUUCCCAUGUGGUAUUGGUGUGCUGGAUAUCCCUUCACUGGUAGCCUGGUAACAUACACUCCCAGGUCUUUCUCUGCCUCUGUGGUGGAUAGUGGAGUGUUUCCCAUGUGGUAUUGGUGUGCUGGAUAUCCCUUCACUGGUAGCCUGGUAACAUACACUCCCAGGUCUUUCUCUGCCUCUGUGGUGGAUAGUGGAGUGUUUCCCAUGUGGUAUUGGUGUGCUGGAUAUCCCUUCACUGGUAGCCUGGUAACACACACUCCCAGGUCUUUCUCUGCCUCUGUGGUGGAUAGUGGAGUGUUUCCCGUGUGGUAUUGGUGUGCUGGAUAUCCCUUCACUGGUAGCCUGGUAACAUACACUCCCAGGUCUUUCUCUGCCUCUGUGGUGGAUAGUGGAGUGUUUCCCGUGUGGUAUUGGUGUGCUGGAUAUCCCUUCACUGGUAGCCUGGUAACAUACACUCCCAGGUCUUUCUCUGCCUCUGUGGUGGAUAGUGGAGUGUUUCCCAUGUGGUAUUGGUGUGCUGGAUAUCCCUUCACUGGUAGCCUGGUAACAUACACUCCCAGGUCUUUCUCUGCCUCUGUGGUGGAUAGUGGAGUGUUUCCCAUGUGGUAUUGGUGUGCUGGAUAUCCCUCCCAAGGUGCAGGACUUUACAUUUUUCUUCACUGAAUUGUAGCAGCCACUUUUUGCUCCACUCCUGUAGCUUGGUAGGAAGUUAUUAACUAUUACUCCUUCCUUCUGUAAACUAUUCAUUCAUUCAAAAAUUCUCUUCUUCCUCGUAGUAAUAGUAUGCUAAUGGUUUAUUCACCUAGGCGUCCUCCCUAUAACCCUUCCUCUCAUUACACUUUCAUUUUAUCACCUAACUCUCCCUCUCUCCUUUUGCAAGCUCAUCCCUCCCUCCUCCCUUCCU